AACGAACGCUGGCGGCAGGCUUAACACAUGCAAGUCGAACGGGAUCCCAGCUUGCUAGGUGAGAGUGGCGGACGGGUGAGUAACACGUGGGAAUCUGCCUUUUGGUUCGGGAUAACCGCGGGAAACUGCGGCUAAUACCGAAUGCCCUCGAGAGAGGAAAGAUUUAUCGCCAGAAGAGGAGCCCGCGUCCGAUUAGGUAGUUGGUGGGGUAAAGGCCUACCAAGCCGACGAUCGGUAGCUGGUCUGAGAGGAUGAUCAGCCACACUGGGACUGAGAUACGGCCCAGACUCCUACGGGAGGCAGCAGUGGGGAAUAUUGGACAAUGGGGGCAACCCUGAUCCAGCAAUGCCGCGUGAGUGAUGAAGGCCUUAGGGUUGUAAAGCUCUUUUGCCAGGGAAGAUGAUGACUGUACCUGGAGAAUAAGCCCCGGCUAACUUCGUGCCAGCAGCCGCGGUAAU
rnacentral:rRNA from 1 species